CCUACGGGUGGCAGCAGUGGGGAAUAUUGCACAAUGGGGGAAACCCUGAUGCAGCGACGCCGCGUGAGUGAAGAAGUAUUUCGGUAUGUAAAGCUCUAUCAGCAGGGAAGAAAAUGACGGUACCUGACUACUACGCCCCGGCUACCUACGUUCCAGCAGCCGCGGUCAUACGUCGGGGGCAAGCGUUAUCCGGAUUUACUGGGUGGAAAGGGAGCGUAGACGGCAGGUCAAGUCUGAAGUGAAAGCCCUCGGCCCAACUGCGGGACUGCUUUGGAAACUGCCAGGCUAGAGUGCUGGAGAGGUAAGCGGAAUUCCUAGUGUAGCGGUGAAAUGCGUAGAUAUUAGGAGGAACACCAGUGGCGAAGGCGGCUUACUGGACAGUAACUGACGUUGAGGCUCGAAAGCGUGGGGAGCAAACAGGAUUAGAUACCCCAGUAGUC
rnacentral:rRNA from 1 species